rnacentral:rRNA from 1 species
AUUGAACGCUGGCGGCAGGCUUAACACAUGCAAGUCGAACGCAUCCUUCGGGAUGAGUGGCAGACGGGUGAGUAACGCGUGGGAACGUGCCCUCCGGUUCGGGAUAACCCAGGGAAACUUGGGCUAAUACCGGAUACGUGCUUAUGGCAGAAAGGUUUACUGCCGGAGGAUCGGCCCGCGUCUGAUUAGCUAGUUGGUGGGGUAACGGCCUACCAAGGCUGCGAUCAGUAGCUGGUCUGAGAGGAUGAUCAGCCACACUGGGACUGAGACACGGCCCAGACUCCUACGGGAGGCAGCAGUGGGGAAUAUUGGACAAUGGGCGCAAGCCUGAUCCAGCCAUGCCGCGUGAGUGAUGAAGGCCUUAGGGUUGUAAAGCUCUUUUACCCGGGACGAUAAUGACGGUACCGGGAGAAUAAGCCCCGGCUAACUUCAUGCCAGCCGCCGCGGUAA